rnacentral:rRNA from 2 species
GGUAAUGACCCAAACCUAUAUGGCCCCUGGAUUGGACUGCGGCCGAUCAGGCUGUUGGUGAGGUAAUGGCCCACCAAACCUGUAACCGGUACGGGCUCUGAGAGGAGGAGCCCGGAGAUGGGCACUGAGACAAGGGCCCAGGCCCUAUGGGGCGCAGCAGGCGCGAAACCUCUGCAAUAGGCGAAAGCUUGACAGGGUUACUCUGAGUGAUUUCCGUUAAGGAGAUCUUUUGGCACCUCUAAAAAUGGUGCAGAAUAAGGGGUGGGCAAGUCUGGUGUCAGCCGCCGCGGUAAUACCAGCACCCCGAGUGGUCGGGACGUUUAUUGGGCCUAAAGCAUCCGUAGCCGGUUCUACAAGUCUUCCGUUAAAUCCACCUGCUCAACAGAUGGGCUGCGGAAGAUACUAUGGAGCUAGGAGGCGGGAGAGGCAAGCGGUACUCGAUGGGUAGGGGUAAAAUCCGUUGAUCCAUUGAAGACCACCAGUGGCGAAGGCGGCUUGCCAGAACGCGCUCGACGGUGAGGGAUGAAAGCUGGGGGAGCAAACCGGAUUAGACACCCGGGUAGUCCCAGCUGUAAACGAUGCAGACUCGGUGAUGAGUUGGCUUUAUGCCAACUCAGUGCCGCAGGGAAGCCGUUAAGUUUGCCGCCUGGGGAGUACGGUCGCAAGACUGAAACUUAAAGGAAUUGGCGGGGGAGCA